UACGAAGGGGGCUAGCGUUGUUCGGAUUUACUGGGCGUAAAGCGCACGUAGGCGGAUCGAUCGGUCAGGGGUGAAAUCCCAGAGCUCAACUCUGGAACUGCCUUUGAUACUGUCGAUCUGGAGUAUGGAAGAGGUGAGUGGAAUUCCGAGUGUAGAGGUGAAAUUCGUAGAUAUUCGGAGGAACACCAGUGGCGAAGGCGGCUCACUGGUCCAUUACUGACGCUGAGGUGCGAAAGCGUGGGGAGCAAACAGG
rnacentral:rRNA from 1 species